ACUGAUGAAACUGCUAGACAGCUUUCAGCCUUGUACUGACAACACUAGAAAUCCUGAUUCUCUACUGGCAACUGCUUCUGGAGGUGCAGCAGAGGACUCGAGGGGUGCGGAAAGCAGGAUCUCUGUCGACAGCAGUGCUUAUUCCUUGACAAACUGGAGACAGGAUGCAUCAACAGCAAAUGAUGAUAUUGCAGUGCAAGACUGGAGUAUCCUUGGACAUUUAUGUUUGACAGACUUCACAGCGGUGCUUUUCAACUUCACAUGCUUUUAAUUCUGGGUCUGCCUGACUUUGUGACCAUGACUAAUGUUCGUCCUGUAGUCAUACGUAUGCCGAGCUCAGUGAACCGUUUCUCCUACUUGAAGGUUCACGCUGUAACGGUACGUAGCUGUUAUCGUCUCGUCAGCUUGGCCUGUCCCUACCUUGAGCUUGGCACCAUCUGGAAACUUCAAGGCAAACCCAGAUAUGAAACAGCUGGGAGGAAAAGCAGAAGACUUUGCAAAGGUUGUGUUUACAAAACAAAAAAUGAUGCUAUAAAACAUCAGAUGGAACAAAAUAUAUACUGAAAUCCAGUGCUUUCUGCUUUGGCUAUAUCAGUGGUCUGUUCAUGAAAUCUUGAAUCGCCUGGUGUAGGGGUAACCAUUUAUUAAUUGAAGCUUUUAAAGCUGUAAUCCACCUAGAAGAAAGGAAAGACCAACAACUGUCUCCUACUGAGCGCUGCCAGCUUUGGGAUUCAAUUGGAGUUCUGUGAGGUCAGCUGAAUUCUUGCAGCUCUGCCUCGUGUCUUCAUUAUGAAAGGUCUACGCUUUGGAUAAAAAGCAGUGUACAGGAGGAUUUCUCUCAAUUCAACCUAAGGAAAACCGUAAACAUCCCUUCCCCUUCCUCAGCUCCCUCCAUUUGCAACAGUGAGCGCCACCAACAGGAAUUACCACAAGACUAAGUCGCUCCCAGCGGCAGGACUACAGAUUUUGCCAUGUGGUCAAAGUUCCAUUUCUAAUGAUCAGAGAAUGAAAUAACUCAUUGCAUAAGGUAAGUACAUUAUUACUUUAUAUAAAUUGUGACUAUUUAGCAUUUUUGGAAUGGUUCUCCAAUACUAUUUUUUAUAAACAGAGUACUGUGUUAAGCUUUUAAAAUAAUUCAGGGCAACAUAUAAUUGGUAAGUGGAGGCCAAGUCAGACAGGUGAAGUAAAUCCUCUCCUUAUAGUGUUAUUCAUGUGGAAGAUAAAAAAUACUACCUGUUCAGCAUUUAACUUUGCUAUUUGUUUAAAAAUAACCAUUGCUGAUAGGACUUUCAGCAUUAAAUGCUCUUUGGUGUUCUCUGUGCCAGGCAGAAUUAAAAAAAAAAAAAAAAGAGAAAAGAAAAAAGAAACCUCCUUCCAGUGGGGGCUGUUUGAGAUAUCAGGCCCAAAUCAAACAUUUAAGUUCAGAAUAGCUAAAUGAAUUGCUGGAAAAUAAAAAGCAUGAUAGUGGAAGGCA